rnacentral:rRNA from 1 species
AAGUCCUCAUGGCCUUUAUGCCUAGGGCUACACACGUGCUACAAUAGGGCGGUACAAAGGGUUGCAAUCCCGCGAGGGGGAGCCAAUCCCAAAAAGCCGGUCUCAGUUCGGAUUGGAGUCUGCAACUCGACUCCAUGAAGUUGGAAUCGCUAGUAAUCGCGGAUCAGCAUGCCGCGGUCGAAUACGUUCCCGGGCCUU